rnacentral:rRNA from 1 species
GAUGAACGCUGGCGGCGUGCCUAAUACAUGCAAGUCGAGCGAACGGACGAGAAGCUUGCUUCUCUGAUGUUAGCGGCAGACGGGUGAGUAACACGUGGAUAACCUACCUAUAAGACUGGGAUAACUUCGGGAAACCGGAGCUAAUACCGGAUGAUAUUUUGAACCGCAUGGUUCAAAAGUGAAAGACGGUCUUGCUGUCACUUAUAGAUGGAUCCGCGCUGCAUUAGCUAGUUGGUAAGGUAACGGCUUACCAAGGCAACGAUGCAUAGCCGACCUGAGAGGGUGAUCGGCCACACUGGAACUGAGACACGGUCCAGACUCCUACGGGAGGCAGCAGUAGGGAAUCUUCCGCAAAGGGCGAAAGCCUGACGGAGCAACGCCGCGUGAGUGAUGAAGGUCUUCGGAUCGUAAAACUCUGUUAUUAGGGAAGAACAUAUGUGUAAGUAACUGUGCACAUCUUGACGGUACCUAAUCAGAAAGCCACGGCUAACUACGUG